UACGUAGGGGGGCGAGCGUUGUCCGGAUUCAUUGGGCGUAAAGAGCUCGUAGGCGGCCGGUUGCGUCUGCUGUGAAAUCCCGGGGCUUAACCCCGGGCGUGCAGUGGAUACGGGCCGGCUGGAGGCAGGCAGGGGAGAAUGGAAUUCCCGGUGUAGCGGUGAAAUGCGCAGAUAUCGGGAGGAACACCGGUGGCGAAGGCGGUUCUCUGGGCCUGUACUGACGCUGAGGAGCGAAAGCGUGGGGAGCGAACAGG
rnacentral:rRNA from 1 species